rnacentral:lncRNA from 1 species
UUAUAUAAGUAUUUUAAUAGGACAAUGAUUUAUUCUAUUUACUCAUAGACACUGCACCGGACUAAACAAUUGAAUUGUAUUUUUUUAAUAUCUUUUCAAUAAUUCAUAUACAGUAUUUUUGUCAACACAAGCUGUAACAGAUCAAAAGUAAUCGUCAUAUAAUCAUCCUUUUAAUUUCUUCAAUUUACAUAAUCUCAUGUACAAGACCUAAGUACACUCCUUCACCCCUAAAAGUUUUUCACUUAGGCAUGGAAACUGAAAGACAGAGGCUGUGUCCCAAAUGGCACCCUACUCCCUAUAUAGGGCACUACUUUUGACCAGAGUCCUAUGUGCCCUGAUCAAAAGUAGUGCACUCUAUAGGGAGUAGGGUACUAUUUGGGAUGCAUCCAGAGACAACGCCUGUCCUUGUGCAACACUAAACCCAAAGUUCUCCAUCAAACGCAUGCAUUUUCUCUUAGAAAAAUAUUAAGCCGGUUCUUAAAAUGCGGUGGAGCAGAAGGCUAACUAAAAUAAGAUACUAGAACCUUCGGUGAAAAUUAUUUUUAAAAACGACUAAACCAUGAUGAUUUUUACUACACCAAAGAACAAUUUACAGCACAUGUGUACUAGCAACAGUUGUAAUUCUUUUUUUCUUUUUACAUGAACAAAAAAAGACUGAUUUUCAAAUUCAUUUGAUAUUUUAAAAAAUAUGUAUUUGUGUUUCUCUAUUGUCUCCCUCCCACUCCCUCUGCUCUCUGAUACAAAGCAUAUCUUUACCAACAAACAAAAAAAUUGUUGCAUAUGUCACAUCAUAGUCAAGCAGUGAUGGUGAAGUGGACAGGUUUGGGGGCAGGUGGUGGGAAAGAGGCAGGGGUUGGAGCAGGGGGUGUGGCAUUCGCUUCAGCAGUCUCAAGAGCCACGUUCAGUCCACCAACGUCAGCCAUCUUGGAAAACGUAAAAGCGGAAAAGAAAAAUAUCCAUCGUCAUCUGAAACGACAAGUUCUCGAUAAAACCUCCCGAGAUCUCACAGCCGAGAAAUAGAAUAUCGUUAAAUCAGCUCACUGGAUAUUAAAGUCUCAUUCAAUGCAUUUGCAUUGAUUUUGUUGUACUGAUUUGGAAUGGUUACAGGAUUCCAUCCCCGCCAAGCGCUGAGAGUGUUCUAGCUACGAUGAUAGCUGAGCCCUGUCAGUCACGACAAGAUAGAAUUAUCAUAGAGCGUCAGCUCAAUAAACACUUUCAGUCAAUCAUGUUUGGUAAACUGGUACAGGAGCUUUCUUUACACUUUGAAUUUCAUUUUCCAUACCAAACCCCCAUUUGGUGAUAAAGUAUGGAGGCUUGUGUGGUACAAAUCAGGAACAAAACAAACUUCAUACUGUCUGUAGCAAACCAACAUGCACUUCAAAUGAACAGAGACCUUCAAAAUAAAAGUCUAAUCACAGUUUUAUCCUCAUAUUCAGAAGAAAAUCAUCUUUGUAUCAAAAUGGAAUGGACUCAAAUAUCUGUGUGUUCAUAUAAGACUUCUUCUAUUCCCCUCAGUCAAUCUGCUUUAGCAUGUCCACGCUGCAUAAAACAAGACAAAACACAACAUUGGAUUUUGGAUAAACUCAUCGAUAUAUCUAUAAAAACCUCAAUAAACCCUCAAUAAAAGAAACAAUAAACCCAUUUCGAGGUCAGGCAUCAUGUGGGUGCUGCUUUGAACGAUAAACCACGACAAAUGAAGUAGUCAACUCUGGUUGAGAGAGAAGGAUAGUUUCAAAAUGGCAUCAAAGGUAUUCAGUAUUCACAAUGGCCAUUCGGUUAGAGAGGACAGGACGGACAGGAGAGGAUCAAUCAUGUCUUUCAUACGAGUAGGUACAUAAGUAAGUCAGCUCUGAGAGAAAGGGAGAGUGUGAUAUGCUAGAUCACCAAUAUAUACAGCACACACACUGAGGACUCAACCCUUAUUGCUCAUGCUAAUGUCACACAUACACAUACAGGUGAGAGCAAUGGGGUCAUACGCACACACACACACACACACACACACACACACACAAAGCCCUCCCCCACUCACAGUAGCCCUCCCUAAACAAUUGAUUCCCAUUCAAAAUCCUAUUUUCCCUAACUCCUUACCCUUAACCCUAACCUUAACACUGACUUGCAAUAUACAGACAGAGCAUAAAGUUGCAAUAGGCCUGCUCAACCCAAGGUUUGAUACCAG